rnacentral:rRNA from 1 species
GAUCAUGGCUCAGGACGAACGCUGGCGGCGUGCCUAAUACAUGCAAGUCGAGCGAACUUCAGGGAGCUUGCUCCCUGAAGUUAGCGGCGGACGGGUGAGUAACACGUGGGCAACCUGCCUGUAAGACGGGGAUAACUUCGGGAAACCGGAGCUAAUACCGGAUCAAUCUUAUCUACUCAUGUAGGUAAGCUAAAAGACGGCACUCGCUGUCGCUUACAGAUGGGCCCGCGGCGCAUUAG